GAUGAACGCUGGCGGCGUGCCUAAUACAUGCAAGUCGAGCGAACGGACGAGAAGCUUGCUCCUCUGAUGUUAGCGGCGGACGGGUGAGUAACACGUGGAUAACCUACCUAUAAGACUGGGAUAACUUCGGGAAACCGUAGCUAAUACCGGAUAAUAUAUUGAACCGCAUGGUUCAAUAGUGAAAGACGGUCUUGCUGUCACUUAUAGAUGGAUCCGCGCUGCAUUAGCUAGUUGGUAAGGUAACGGCUUACCAAGGCAACGAUGCAUAGCCGACCUGAGAGGGUGAUCGGCCACACUGGAACUGAGACACGGUCCAGACUCCUACGGGAGGCAGCAGUAGGGAAUCUUCCGCAAUGGGCGAAAGCCUGACGGAGCAACGCCGCGUGAGUGAUGAAGGUCUUCGGAUCGUAAAACUCUGUUAUUAGGGAAGAACAUAUGUGUAAGUAACUGUGCACAUCUUGACGGUACCUAAUCAGAAAGCCACGGCUAACUACGUG
rnacentral:rRNA from 1 species